UGCCCAUAUAUUUGUUAGUCUAACCAAUAGGAGGCAGAGAGAGCUAAUAAAUAGGCCUAAGUACUUCUGUGUUAAAGAUGAGAGUCAGACCAGGUUAACACAUAGCCUUCUUCUGAUUACUAAAGAGAAAUUAAGUAGUCUA